CCUACGGGAGGCAGCAGUGAGGAAUAUUGGUCAAUGGGCGAGAGCCUGAACCAGCCAAGUCGCGUGAGGGAGUACUGCCCUAUGGGUUGUAAACCUCUUUUGUCGGGGAGCAAAAGCCGGACGUGUCCGGCUGUGAGAGUACCCGAAGAAAAAGAAUCGGCUAACUCCGUGCCAGCAGGCGCGGUAAUCCGGAGGAUGCGAGCGUUAGCCGGAUUUAUUGGGUUGAAAGGGUGCGCAGGCGGAUUUUUAAGUCAGCGGUAAAAUCGUGGGGCUCAACCCCAUCCAGCCGUUGAAACUGGGGAUCUAGAGUGUGCGAGAGGUAUGCGGAAUGCGUGGUGUAGCGGUGAAAUGCAUAGAUAUCACGCAGAACCCCGAUUGCGAAGGCAGCAUACCGGUGCACAACUGACGCUCAGGCACGAAAGCGUGGGUAUCGAACAGGAUCAGAUACCCUGGUAGUC
rnacentral:rRNA from 1 species